rnacentral:rRNA from 1 species
UACGAAGGGUGCAAGCGUUACUCGGAAUUACUGGGCGUAAAGCGUGCGUAGGCGGUUUGUUAAGUCUGAUGUGAAAGCCCUGGGCUCAACCUGGGAAUGGCAUUGGAUACUGGCAACCUAGAAUGUGGUAGAGGGUGGCGGAAUUCCCGGUGUAGCAGUGAAAUGCGUAGAUAUCGGGAGGAACAUCCGUGGCGAAGGCGGCCACCUGGACCAAUAUUGACGCUGAGGCACGAAAGCGUGGGGAGCAAACAGG